ACUGACCGCAUAACAAUGUGAGUGUACCUAACACAGCAGGACUAUGCAUGGCAACAAAGAAAGAUCCCAAAGCAUAAAUAUAACAAUGAGAAGGCAAAGAACAUGGAAUAUAGUUCAAGUCAAAGAGCUCACAAAUGGCUUUCUUAGGGGACUAUUCACACUGAACAUUGGAAGAGCACAGUCUGAA